GAGCUUUGAGCGGAGGAGAAAUCGGACGGUGGUGCGGAGUUUCGCUAAUGGCAAAUUCGUUUUUUCGUUUAUUGGAUUUCACGGCGCCAUGGCUCACCCCCUGAGCCCCGUGGACCCCGCGCCCCGGAGCCAUGCAGAAGUUAAUGGGCGGCUAACGCAAUUCUUUAACGAUGACACUCAGGCUGUACAUCGGCAGGAAAUACACCAACUUGCUCCACUCACUCUACGCUUCAACCCUCGUUCUACGGGAGAGGGUUGCGAAACGGUGGUGGGAGGAAAAGCUUAUGAUCAAACGAGCCGUGUAACUUACGCUUGAGCCGGAAGAUAAUAAAACACGAUUGUCACGGACUGCAGACCUCAUCGCGGAUCGAAAUCUAUUUGAAAUCUGACUUUGCAGACAUUAAGAAAAUUCACGUGGCAAACGGCGAGGGAAGAAAGUUUACAAAAAUGUGGGGAGGGAAGAAGAAGGGGUCACGUCACGAAUCCACGAAUGGUUUCCAUUGCUGCCCGGUUGUGGAUAAUAUCAGGGAGCAUCGAGGCCGGCGUAACAUUUACGCAGGUUAGAAAUGAAGAACGAAACGAUAAACAGGCGGCGUCCAAAAGCAGCCACAGCCAUAUACCAUGCUCGAAAUUUGCUUCGCCCAUGGCAUCGCCAAAUUUCUUCAAUACGACGAAAAGAAAAGUUCUGCCAGCAUUUCAAGCCAGAAUAUUAAUCCAACCGCAUAUCCGCGGGAGAAUCGCCCCUGCCAGCAUCGUUCUCACAGACGCUUAGACGGU